CCUGACGGUAGUCGUAUGCUCGUCUCCGAGACUAAGCCAUGCAAGUCCAAGUACACGUCCUUGAACGACGGAAACUGCGAACGGCUCAUUAAAUCAGUUGCGAUCUACUCGGCGUUCCGCGCCGCCGGAUAACCGUAGUAAUUCUAGGGCUAAUACGUGCGAAGCGCCCGAAGCCGCGAGGCGACGGGCGUUCUCGCCGGAUGUAGGAACCGACCCGGGGACCGCCGGGGGCAACCCGGGCGCCCCCGAGACGGGGCGAACCACGGUGAAAUGACGGAUCGUCGGCCCCGCGCCGGCGACUCGCCGAAUGAGUUUCUGACCUAUCAACUCGAGACGGCGGGGUAGAGGCCCGCCGCGGUAACGACGGGUAACGGGGAAUCAGGGUUCGAUUCCGGAGAGGGGAGCCCGAGAAACGGCUACCACUUCCAAGGAAGGCAGCAGGCGCGCAACUUACCCUAAUCUCGAUUCGAGGAGGU
rnacentral:rRNA from 1 species